UAACGCACCUUUCGCUCCUUGGUAUUCCGAGGAGCAUGCCUGUUUGAGUGUCAUUUAAUUCUCAAUCUCUACAAACUUGUGUUGUUAGUGGAUUGGAGGUGGGGGUUUCUGUGGGUGUAUUUUUUAUAUCCACUCCCCUGAAAAUUAUUAGCUGGAAUGCCUUUGCAAAACCAACUAUCAGUAUGAUAAUUAUCUAUUCUGAUGUUGCUGUGAAGGGAAUCUGCUUUCAAACCGUCAUUCUGACACUUUGAAUCCAUUUGACCUCAAAUCAGGUAGGACUACCCGCUGAACUUAAG
rnacentral:misc_RNA from 1 species